GUCCACGCCGUAAACGAUGAACACUAGGUGUGGGGGUAUCGACCCCCUCCGUGCCGAAGCUAACGCAAUAAGUGUUCCGCCUGGGGAGUACGGCCGCAAGGCUAAAACUCAAAGGAAUUGACGGGGGCCCGCACAAGCAGCGGAGCGUGCGGUUUAAUUCGUCGCAACGCGAAGAACCUUACCAGGGCUUGACAUGCCGGUGGUACCAACCUGAAAGGGAAGGGACCCUUCGGGGAGCCGGCACAGGUGCUGCAUGGCUGUCGU
rnacentral:rRNA from 1 species